rnacentral:rRNA from 1 species
AUGCAUUUCAUAUCAUGUCAUCAUGUGCAUUUCAUUUUGCAAACAUGUUCAUCUCAUGCAUCCGAGCAUUUUUCCCGUUGUCCGUUUUGCAAUCCGGCACUCCUAUGUCAUCCGGCGUCCUCUUCUCGCCUCUUUUCGUGUGCGGGUGUUAAACUUUCUCGGAAUGGACCGAGGUUUGCCAAGCGGCCUUGGUAUAGCACCGGUAGACCGCCUGUCAGGUUUCGUGCCAUUUGGAGUCCGUUUGAUACUCCAACGGUUAACCGAGUAACCGCAAAGGCCUCUUUUGUGUGCAGCCCAACACCCCCUUCAAAGUGGCCCAAAACCCAGCAAACUCCCCUCCAUGCUCUCGGUCGUUCGAUCACGAUCGCGUGGCCAAAAACCGCUCCUCAUUUGGACUCUCCUAGCUCCCUCUACCUAUAA